GACGAACGCUGGCGGCGUGCUUAACACAUGCAAGUCGAACGGAAAGGCCCUGCCGCUGUGGGGUGCUCGAGUGGCGAACGGGUGAGUAACACGUGAGUAACCUGCCCUUGACUUUGGGAUAAUUUCAGGAAACUGGGGCUAACACCGGAUAGGAGCUCCUGCUGCACGGUGGGGUUUGGAGAGUUUCGGCUGUUGGGGAUGGAUUCGAUGCUUAUCCGCUUGUUUGUGGGGGAGUAUAUUACCAAGGCCUUGGGGGGUACCCGGCCUGAGCGGGUGUCCCGCCACGUUGGGACUGAAAUUCGGCCGAGACUCCUACGAGAGCCAGCAGUGGGGGAUUUUGCGGAGUGGGGCGUGGUCUGAUGAACAAAAGUCUCGUGCGGGAUGAUGCUCUUCUGGUUGUAACCCGUUUUCGCUUUUAAGGAAGCGUCACUGACGGUAAUGGGUAAAGAAGCGCCGGCUAACUACGGG
rnacentral:rRNA from 1 species